UACUCCUACGGGAGGCAGCAGUGGGGAAUAUUGGACAAUGGGCGAAAGCCUGAUCCAGCCAUGCCGCGUGUGUGAAGAAGGUCUUCGGAUUGUAAAGCACUUUAAGUUGGGAGGAAGGGCAGUAAGUUAAUACCUUGCUGUUUUGACGUUACCAACAGAAUAAGCACCGGCUAACUUCGUGCCAGCAGCCGCGGUAAUACGAAGGGUGCAAGCGUUAAUCGGAAUUACUGGGCGUAAAGCGCGCGUAGGUGGUUCAGCAAGUUGGAUGUGAAAUCCCCGGGCUCAACCUGGGAACUGCAUCCAAAACUACUGAGCUAGAGUACGGUAGAGGGUGGUGGAAUUUCCUGUGUAGCGGUGAAAUGCGUAGAUAUAGGAAGGAACACCAGUGGCGAAGGCGACCACCUGGACUGAUACUGACACUGAGGUGCGGAAGCGUGGGGAGCAAACAGGAUUAGAUACCCUGGUAGUCCACGCCGUAAACGAUGUCGACUAGCCGUUGGGAUCCUUGAGAUCUUAGUGGCGCAGCUAACGCGAUAAGUCGACCGCCUGGGGAGUACGGCCGCAAGGUUAAAACUCAAAUGAAUUGACGGA
rnacentral:rRNA from 1 species